UACGGAGGGUGCAAACGUUGCUCGGAAUUAUUGGGCGUAAAGCGCACGUAGGCGGUCCGCUAAGUCGGGUGUGAAAUCCCUCGGCUUAACCGAGGAAGUGCAUUCGAAACUGGCGGGCUUGAGUACUGAAGAGGGUCGCGGAAUUCCCGGUGUAGAGGUGAAAUUCGUAGAUAUCGGGAGGAACACCAGUGGCGAAGGCGGCGACCUGGGCAGAUACUGACGCUGAGGUGCGAAAGCGUGGGGAGCAAACAGGG
rnacentral:rRNA from 1 species